rnacentral:sRNA from 1 species
UUCUGGAAGAAACUGUGGGUCUCUCGGCUGCAGCGAUGUUCUGGCUUCUGGUUGGAAUAGAAAGAGCUCUCAGAUGUAAUGUGACCAAUUGUGUCCUGUUCCUGGUGCUGUGACUUCCUGCCACGGUGGGCUGCAACCCCUCACAGAGGGUGUUUCUGUCUGUCUCCAUGCUGAUGUAAUAAAUGUGAGAAUGAAAUGUCCAGAUGCCACCUCAAGGAGUGGCUUGUCCCUGCUGCCAGCUCCUGCACGGUCAGCUUGCAGGUAAACCUGCACUGAAGACUUGAACUUAGGACCCAAGGGCCAGCCUGCUCUAGUCACUACUGCACAGCUUUGCAGGCAUCGGCCAAGGCUGCUUGGUCUGCAACAUGGUUCAGCUGCUCUCUCUUCC